GACGAACGCUGGCGGCGUGCUUAACACAUGCAAGUCGAGCGGAAAGGCCCUUCGGGGUACUCGAGCGGCGAACGGGUGAGUAACACGUGAGUAACCUGCCCCAGACUUUGGGAUAACCCUCGGAAACGGGGGCUAAUACCGGAUACGACACAGCUUCGCAUGGGGUCUGUGUGGAAAGGUUUUCGGUUUGGGAUGGGCUCGCGGCCUAUCAGCUUGUUGGUGGGGUGAUGGCCUACCAAGGCGACGACGGGUAGCCGGCCUGAGAGGGCGACCGGCCACACUGGGACUGAGACACGGCCCAGACUCCUACGGGAGGCAGCAGUGGGGAAUAUUGCACAAUGGGCGGAAGCCUGAUGCAGCGACGCCGCGUGAGGGAUGACGGCCUUCGGGUUGUAAACCUCUUUCAGCAGGGACGAAGCGUAAGUGACGGUACCUGCAGAAGAAGCGCCGGCCAACUACGUG
rnacentral:rRNA from 1 species